AUGCUCGAUUUGGCAACAUAUAUACUAAAAUUGGGAUGAUACAGAGACUUAGCAUGGCUCCUGUGCAAGGAUGACAUGCAAAUUCGUGAAGUGUUCCAUAUUUUU